UGUUGCUCAAUUAUGUUGGGAAGUGUGAUGUUUAGGGUGAAGUUCUACUAUUUUUACCAGGGUUUCCGCCCCUCACGUCGUUGCUGCAAGGGCGUACAGGAUAUCCCAGCACGAGCGGCUUUUAAAUCAAGGCAGCAAACAGCAGGCGCUUGUCGGCGAUACGAACGUUCCAAGACGUCUUAGUUGGGAAAGGGUACGCCUUUUCACUUUCGGCAAGAGUUCUGGUAAAGAAAGCUACGGGACGCCCAUUUUGUGACUGCAGAGAUAGCAACAUCUGAAGCAUCUGUUUCGACAACUAGAGGAGAUUUCGGGUCCACACACACACACAGGCUUCCAAGGGCUACAGCCCAACUAAUUUAAGAUGUAAUCAGGUGGCCUAUUGGUUGGAAUAUGUAACUUUUGAUUUCGCGAAAUGACGAAAAUUCUUGAAAGUCUUCUCUACUUGCUGCUCUCAUUAGCUUUG